UACGUAGGGGGCAAGCGUUGUCCGGAUUUAUUGGGCGUAAAGAGCGUGUAGGCGGCCUGACAGGUCUGCUGUGAAAACUCGAGGCUCAACCUCGAGAUGUCGGCGGAAACCGUCUGGCUAGAGUCCGGAAGAGGAGAGUGGAAUUCCUGGUGUAGCGGUGAAAUGCGCAGAUAUCGGGAGGAACACCAGUGGCGAAGGCGGCUAUCUGGGCUGAAACUGACGCUGAGGCGCGAAGGCUAGGGGAGCAAACAGG
rnacentral:rRNA from 1 species